rnacentral:rRNA from 1 species
GAUGAACGCUGGCGGCGUGCUUAACACAUGCAAGUCGAGCGAGAGAGUUCUUCGGAACAAUCUAGCGGCGGACGGGUGAGUAACACGUGGGCAACCUGCCUCAUAGAGGGGAAUAGCCUUCCGAAAGGAAGAUUAAUACCGCAUAACAUCGUUGAAGGGCAUCCUUCGAUGAUCAAAGGAGCAAUCCGCUAUGAGAUGGGCCCGCGGCGCAUUAGCUAGUUGGUGAGGUAACGGCUCACUAAGGCGACGAUGCGUAGCCGACCUGAGAGGGUGAUCGGCCACAUUGGGACUGAGACACGGCCCAGACUCCUACGGGAGGCAGCAGUGGGGAAUAUUGCACAAUGGGGGAAGCCCUGAUGCAGCAACGCCGCGUGAGUGAUGACGGCCUUCGGGUUGUAAAGCUCUGUCUUUGGGGACGAUAAUGACGGUACCCAAGGAGGAAGUCACGGCUAACUACGUGCCAGCCGCCGCCGUAA